GACAUGAACAUUGGGUGCUCUUUUGUAUUGAUAUACCAAGACAUAAAAUUUGGUAUUUCAAUUCACUUAACCCCAAAGAAGGUUGGAUUACAGACAAGCCAACAAUGAAAGUGUUGUGGUAUUAUUUUAGGACUAUUGUUCGACAUCAUUCAGCUAAUGACAGGUGCGAAGGAAGUUUUGAAUUUGUUUUUCCUAGUCAUAUCCCACAGCCAGAUACCCGUUCUUGCGGUGUAAUGGUGGCUUUAUACAUGGAUUACUUCAAUGGCCAUAUCGCAAAUAGUGUAUUUGAGCAAUUCAAAGAUGUGAAUAAUUUGAAUGCAAAAAGAGCAAAGGUAUGUGCGGAGUUACUUUUGUAAAAUGCUAAUGAAAAAAAAUCUAAUCUGUUGGACAGGUUAAGAAUUUACAAUGAACAAAAUAAACAUGUGAGGAAACAAAACUGUAAAGAGAAUAUAUUUAGACGAAGAUCAAGGCGGAAGUUGUGAUUUUUUCAACCAUUUGUAGUUUCUACUGGUUAUUUUUUAAAUGGACAAGUUGUAUUAGUUGUUUCUAAUUGUGGUAUAUUGUAUUACUAUUAUUAUAAAUGGAUAUAUUGUAAUUUGGGAUGGUGUGUAACUGAGGAUAUGCCUGAUGGAGCCGCAAUUGAAUAAAGAAUUGCUGAGAAUGCACAUGAUGGUGAUGAGAAAGUUGUGGCAGCAUUAGCAGCAGAAGAACCAGCCUUUCAUCAGAUCGUGAUUGCUGAUUGCCAACAAACCAGAAUUGCUUGAAUGUGUUCGAGGCAAUGGAGAAUAGGCGGAAAUGGAGCAGUUUCUAUAGAAAAUCGUCAGCGUAUUAAUAGGAUCUGAAGGAAGCGAUUGUGAAGGGAUUAGGAUUGCAAACAUAUGAUUUUAAGAUAUCAGGCUUCGAUUUGAGAAAUGCUCAGGUGGGGAAAUCGGUAGCAUAUGAAUUUGAUGUGGAGAUUGAUAACAAAGUCAUCCCAUUCAAGCUCCGGGAAGAUAUAAAGCGUUGGGAGUCCUAUGGAGCUUUGGAUUCAAGAUGACAUGAGAAUCUCCUUACCUCAUGAUGUCGACGCUGGUGUGAUGAAGAAAGUGAUAUUAGCCGGCGGUGCUGUCGUCACCGUCAAGGGUGCAAGAUUAGUCAGCGUGUUAAUAGGUGAAAAUCUGUUUGCUUCACAGGGGGCUUAUUAUAAUAUCUCAGGUUGAAAAUAAAUUUGGGGCACUGAGGAUAGGUUCUCGGGCAAUCGGCGAUUCUUACAUGAAUUGGGUGGCAAAGAUGGCUGUCGGAUUAGAUACCUCAUCCACUGUUGCUUUAGAUCUCAUUCACUCCCGGGAGUUAGUCGCACGAAGAAAUUCAAACCUUGUUGUGUGUGUGUCCUAGUUUGUAGCUUGUAAUUUCUUAUGUUGGUAACAGGGGAGGAAAUGUUGAUAACAAUC